rnacentral:rRNA from 1 species
UAGUGGCAGACGGGUGAGUAAUGUAUAGGAAUCUACCUAGUAGUACGGAAUAAUUGUUGGAAACGGCAACUAAUACCGUAUACGCCCUACGGGGGAAAAAUUUAUUGCUAUUAGAUGAGCCUAUAUUAGAUUAGCUAGUUGGUGGAGUAAUAGCCUACCAAGGCAAUGAUCUAUAGCUGAUCUGAGAGGAUGAUCAGCCACACUGGAACUGAGAUACGGUCCAGACUCCUACGGGAGGCAGCAGUGGGGAAUAUUGGACAAUGGGCGAAAGCCUGAUCCAGCCAUGCCGCAUGAGUGAAGAAGGCCUUUGGGUUGUAAAGCUCUUUUAGUGAGGAAGAUAAUGACGGUACUCACAGAAGAAGUCCUGGCUAACUCCGUGCCAGCAGCCGCGGUAAUACGGAGAGGGCUAGCGUUAUUCGGAAUCAUUGGGCGUAAAGGGCGCGUAGGCGGAUUAGUAAGUUAAAAGUGAAAUCCCAAGGCUCAACCUUGGAAUUGCUUUUAAAACUGCUAGUCUAGAGAUUGAAAGAGGAUAGAGGAAUUCCUAGUGUAGAGGUGAAAUUCGUAAAUAUUAGGAGGAACACCAGUGGCGAAGGCGUCUAUCUGGUUCAAAUCUGACGCUGAGGCGCGAAGGCGUGGGGAGCAAACAGGAUUAGAUACCCUGGUAGUCCACGCUGUAAACGAUGAAUGUUAAAUAUGGGAAGUUUACUUUCUGUAUUACAGCUAACGCGUUAAACAUUCCGCCUGGGGACUACGGUCGCAAGAUUAAAACUCAAAGGAAUUGACGGGGACCCGCACAAGCGGUGGAGCAUGUGGUUUAAUUCGAUGCAACGCGAAAAACCUUACCACUCCUUG